CAUUUCAAAGAACAAAGCAUAACUUUCCCUCACUUUUUCCCAAGAUGGAAAUUUUUUCCAACUUCAGCUCUUCAUGAAUAAAUUGACUCAAAUCCAUUCAUCCCUUCUUCCAAAUCCUUAUACGAUCCUUCACUCAAAUCCAUUGCCACAAAUCCUUCACUCAAAUCCACUAUCGUCUCCAUUCAUGUGGAAAUCCUUCACUCAAAUCAACUAAUCCUUCACUCAAAUCAACUAAUCCAUCACUCAAAUACGGUUAGUUGAUUUCUUUUUUAAUUGAUUUCUUCGUUAGUUGAUUCGUGACUACAUAUGCUUCUCAUUCAAUUCAAACUGUGAAUUAUAGUUAGGAUUAGGGUUUAUUUAGAUUUGUUUCAAAUACGGUUCAUUGAUUUCUUCGUUCUUUUACGAUUUAUUGCCUCAUCUAUUCAACUAAUUCUUCAAUUUUUUAUCCAGCUUCAUCUUUUCAACAACUCAAAUUCUCCAAUUGCUUAAAUCCUUCACUCUUCAACGUUAUUACACAGGUAAGGUAAAUGGAAAUCCAAUUUUACAUUCAUCUUCAAUCUUCAUAGUUGAUACAGUUAGCUUAUGAUGUGUUCUAUGUUCUAUGUGUUCUCUGGUAAUAAUGUUUCUCCAACAAGUGAGACAAUAACUGUUAAUUUAUAGUGCAUAUAUAUGUUAAAUCUAUAUUGUCAAUAUCUCAUUAGCAAUAUCAAAUAUAAAAAUUACAACCUAUUCUUGUCCAAGGACUUUCUGGAUUUACAUUGGUUUGUUUCUCAUUCUUCAAAUCAUCUUGUUAAUUUACAUUUCUCGACAUGUCAGCAUACAGAAUAAGAUAUUAUAACUACAAAAUGAUACUAAUUUGUGCUUAAACCAUGAAUAUGAAUUUAAAGUUGGUUUCCGGAAUUCUGCUCUUACUUUUUUGUAACAAGUGACACAAAGGAUUGAUUCUUUCUUAUGCCUCGGCAAAAGAAAUUAGAUGUGUGUGCUUUGAAAUUAGAUGUCAGCAUACAAAAGGUGUUUUUGGAGGUGCUAUUACAUAGGGAGCUUGAGAAAUUGGAGAAGGUGUUUUUGGAGGUGUUGUUACAUGGGGUGGUUGACAACUUGGAGAAGGUGUUUUUGGAGGUGUUAGCACAUAGGGAGGUUGAGAACUUGGGGAAGAAGUUUGUGGAGAAGUUGGAGUAUUGGGAGGACUAUAUAUUGGUGAAGGUGUUUUUGGAGGUGUUGGAGUACUAUAAGGAGGAUGGGAAAUAGGGGAAGGAGCUUGUGGAGGUGUUGGAGCUUUGUGUGGAGUUAGUACAAUGGGAGGAUGGUAAACAGGAGAAGGAACUUGUGGAGGAUUUGGAACACCAGGGGACUAUAAAUAGGAGAUAUAGAUUUUGGAGGGUGAUAUAUUGGUGAAGGAGUUUGUGGUGGUAUUGGAACCUAAGGAGCUUUUGGUGGUGUUGAAAAAUGAGGAGGAUGAAUAGGAGAAGGAGUUUGUGGAGGUUUUGGGACAUAGGGUGAAGGAGCUUUAGGUGUAGAAGGAACUUGUGGAACACUUGGAGGACUAUAUAUAGGUGAUGGAGCUUUUGGGGGUGUUGGAACACCAGGAGGGGUAUAAAUAGGUGAAGGAGUUUGAGGAGGUUUUGGAACAUAUAGUGGUGGAGCUUUUGGUAUAUUUGGAACAUUUGGAGGACUAUACAAAGGAGCAUUUGGAGGUGUUGGAACAUAAGGAGGUGGAGAUCUCACAGCCAAAACCACAACAAUAAGUUUCUGACCCUUUUCACAAUUAUCAUCUUUUCCACUAAUGAAGUAAUAAGGACCAGAUCUUUCAAUUUGAAACUCAGUGUCACCAUCUUCAAACUUCUUGAUAGAUUUCUCCUUGUUGCCUUUUUCAUAAUCAUCCUUAGUCACUUCCAACACUGAGUUUGAGCCUUUGUUGUACUUGAAAACUAUAACAAGAAAAGCCAAGUCAAAAACAAUCAGAAAAAACCAACAAUCUAGUACCCAAAAAAUGAUGUUUGCAAUGGAAAUUAACCACUUACCUAGUGAGUCACUAACUUGGAACCUACUCCUUCCAGACCAUUGAUUAUAAUCCACAGAAGGGUUCACAACCCAACCAUCUUUUCCACCAAUAGAGAAUUUGUAAGCUUGAGAAAUUGAGAGGAGACUAAAGUGUGUUGGAGAACAUAGAGAACUAAGAAAAAGAAGAUUGGUCCCUUAAGCUUCACGAGGAAAUAAAACCAAGCUGUGAAAGAGUGUUUGUAAUAUUAAUUAGAGGUAUCUAUAUCUAUAUUCUAUAUAGUUUAUAGUGUACAUAUAGUGGCAUAAGACAGAGAGUAGAGAGUGUGUGAAAGAAAUUUAUGGUAUGCAAACAAAGGUUGAAAAUUUUAUAUGAUAAUUGAGCUAAGGAAAGUAAAGCCAAAUAAUUUAUUAUCAAAGAGAUUAUUGAGAUAUAAAGGGAAACUUUCCUAGGUUACCCUUGUAUUAAUGAACUUGUCCUAAAGUAUGUCCUAAAUCAUGUUCCACACCAAUAAUGUUGAUGUAAAAAACUAAUGAAUAUUUAACUUUCUAAUUAACAUGACAUAUUUUCAUUGGUAUGAGAUAUGAUUUGAACAUGUUUUAGAACAAUAGUUAUUUAUAAUAAGAAAUAAUCCAUGAUCUAACCCCACCAUUUAAUUAUAAGGUUUUCAUUGUGAAAAGGCAGUUCAUAAAGCCUUCCCCUCAGGGCAGGUUAUGAACACAUUAAAGUUGCAGCACACGAGUGGCAUGAUGUCAUAUUCACAUUCUCAUUCUUACCUUAUAAGUAGUAUAUAGUUUUAUAUAUGCACUCCAUUAUUGUUAAAUUAUCAUUAUAUGAUUUUCUUAUGAUGAAUUUCAUAUAUCAUAUGAUAAAUUUGGUGGACCAUAUGUAAAAUAAUGAAGAAAAUAAUGUCACCAUGGACACUAUGCCCAAUAGCAGUGAAAACAAGAAAGUAAAAGAAAAAAAGGUGUGCAAUUGAUUAAUCAUGUAUUAAUCCAUAUUAACUUGAAAAUAAAAAUUAUAAACAUGAGUGGUUUACCUUAAAUCUAAUGCCCCACAAGUUAAAUAGUACAAGGCAAAACAAUUUAAGGGUGGAUCUGAAAUCCUUAUUCCAUUCCUUUUUCUUUUCUGCAUAUUUGUUAAACUCAAUAGUUCCUCCCUUUAAAAAAAUUGCUACCUUUUUUUCCUUCCAAGUAUAUGAAUUUCCACUAUUUAAAUGUGAAUUAUGAUUUUUUUUGGAUAUAAUAUAAAUCACCUUUGAUUGGAUCUAAAUCACGCACAUUCCUACUUUUGGAUUGUAUAUAUAUAUCUUAAGCACUGUUGAAAGAUAGAUUCGAGAGGUUGUUUCCCCUCCCAACAGAUCGUCCCUUAGCAAGGUGCCAAUCUGUUGAGAGGGUUAUUUCUCUCUCAUUUUCGGUAUUUUCUUUUUUAUUUGAUUAAGUAAGUGAACUUGGUUUUAUUCUAUGUUCGCCAUCUCAGUUUUAUUCUCUGUCGAACCACAAGGAAUUGCCUAAUAGAAUGAAUCAUAUGAAUAUGUCAAAGCACAAAUAAUGAGUUAAACUUAUUUUGGUGGUUUUUGUUUCGAAUUGCACAUAAACAAUUAACAAGAAGCAUAAACUAAAUAUUAACAAAUUCUGGAGGAGACAAGAUCAUUUUGAAUAAGGAAUAUAUUUCUUAACUUCUUAUGAGUUUGAACUACUUAGACAAGUUCUUAUGUUUUACUUUGAUUAACUCCAAACACCAAGUUCUAAAAUCCUUCUUUUAGUGUAUGUCCUAAAAUGGUAAAAUGAUAAUCACUUAUAUUUAUUACUAAACAAUAUUACUUCCAUAAAGAGACUAGGUUGUCAUACCCUAGUCAUUGGCGACUCUAAUAUUGAAAUAGUAAUGAAUAUAAGAUCUUAAGAAAAGUAUGCUUAACUUGGCAAAUAAACUAAGUAGUACAACUACUUCUUAGUUUUUUUGUUAAGUGUUUGAGACAAGUAAUUUUUAUGACUUGAAAUCAUUUUUUAGGUGAUCAAUCUAAAAAGAGCAUUAAGUACUUCUCAAACAAAUAAAAUUAACCAAAGCACCAACUUGAAUGAUUAAAAUUCAAACUUUUAUAUAGUAUAAGAAGAAGUAGAAAUACAUAACAUAUUCAAAAGAAAUUAUUAGGAGCAUGAGUCAUCCAUCCAAGGAUUGGAUGUUUUGAGUUCGAAAUGAGAUUACAAAAUUGAUUUUUGCAUCUCAUUUGCCUACUCCUUUUCUCCUCUUGAAUUACAAACUUACUUAAAAUAAAGCUCUAAAAACUAAGAAAACGAAGAGAGAACUUCAGAGAAAAAUUUAUAGUGAUAGAUAUGUGAAUUUGAUAUGUAAUGGAUUCUGUUUGCUUGAGUGAAAUGCUCCCUAUUUAUAGAAAUUAUUUUUGGACCGCUGAGCUGCUUGGUUGGACCGCUAAGCAGCUGACCAAACUCUUCAGCAUGGGUUUGGUCCAUUGAUCAAGUAGCUUAGUCACCUCCUUAUAUUUGACUCAUCAAAGCAAGUUGUGAUCUAUGAAACCAGCUAUUGUGAGCUACUCUAAAAAGCCUAUGGUGAGCUACUUGAGGUGAGGUCAUUGGUGACUUCAUGGUUUGCUUGAUGGUCAAGUCAAGUCUGGGUGCACACGCUUAGCACACUUGUUGCACCGCUAAGCUGCUUGUUCAGCAGCUUUGACCAUGCUGACUGGGACAUGCCUGGUGCUUGCUGAUAUGGUCAGGAGUCUGGUUCUCCGCUAAGCUGCUUGGUUGGACGCUAAGGUGCUUGUUCAGCAGCUUGGAUAUGUGCCAAGCUUGUGUCUGACCGUGCCAGGACUAGUCUGGUCCUAGGCUGAGCGGCCAAGCAGGUCCACUCAGCUGCUUGCUUGAGCAGCUUUGUCCAGGUCAGGCUGGUGUCCAGGUCAGGCUGGUGUCUAGGUCAGCUUAGCGUGGCUUGGUCCACACUUAGCUGCCUGAUUGAGCACCUUGGUUUUUGAUUUCUUUGUCGUUUUGACCAUGAGUCUCUUUUCUCUCCUUUUCUUCAUUCUAAAUCCUACAAAAUACAUAAAAAAGAAAUACACAUACAAAUUUUACAAGAUUGUGAUAUUUUAUACAAAAAGUAUUGUUUUAAGUUGGUUUUUCUCAAUUAUGCUUAAGAUAAGUGCCAUAAAAGUAUAUGAAAUUUAGGUAUGUUUGGCACUUAUCAAGCACAUGAAUUAUGCAACUUUUGAAUACUGGAACAUGAGGAUUAUGCAUAAGCUAGUCAUUACUCACUAAUAAAUAUUAAAUUGAAAUAAUAGUAAUAUAAGGGUGCAUGGCACGUGAUAGAAAACAAACAUCGUUGGAUUUUGUAUGGAACCUCAUGAUCAAUUUGUUCACUCAAAUGGUAGGUGCUUCUCUUCAUGAUCAAUUUGUUCUUUUGUUUGUUUUUUUAGAUGUAGUUGAAAUAUUAAACUUUGUGAUAGACAUGACUCUCCAUAAUUCUCUUAAUGAGAUAAAUUUGUUUUUAUGCAGGUCAUGGUUCAUGUCACUAUGACUUCAUUUCCUGAUCCCAACUUGAAAUAAAUAGAAGAGCAUUGAGGUAAUACUUAAGCUGUCAUUUAGUAUCUCUAAUGAUUUAGUAAUUGAAUUUAACAUCAAAAACAUAUUCACACAGUUAUGAUCGAUAAGAGUUGGAUUGAGAAACCAAUUAGAUCAAAGGAGUUCUUGGAUGGGGUGGUUUAAUUUUUGGAUUUCGCCUUUUCAAAUGUACCUAUAAAUGAUCAAAUUCCAUGUCCUUGUAUUACAUGUGGAUUUCUUAAAAUGGGUACCAGAAUUGAAGUGUUUAGUCAUCUAAUUCAAAAAGGGUUUCCCAGAAAGUACACAUUUUGGUACAUGCAUGGGGAAAAACAUGUGCAAGAUAAUGUUGAAACUACAGCCUAACCACAAGAAUAGUUGGUUAGACAAUAUCCAAUGCAAGAUAUGUUAGAUGAUGUUUUUGGCAUCUUUGAUGAUAGUGGAAUUCAAGACUUCGGUCACUCAAAUAUACCAAAUGAUGACCAGCCUAGGGGUGAUGGAAAUAAAGUCCAACAAGAAAAAAUAAAAGAGCAAUUAGGUGAUGGAAAUGAAGAAUUGUACCCUGUUUGUAAAAAAUAUAGUAAAAUAUCAUUCCUUGUUCUUUUGUAUCAUAUAAAAGUCUAUUAUAGUGCACAAACAAAACUUUUUCUAUGAUCAUUGAUCUUUUAAAUGAUGCUUUUCCCCAUGCAAAACUCCCAACAUCUUUAUACGAGGCAAAAAAGUUGAUUAAGAAGGUAGGUUUAAGCUAUGAAAAGAUUCAUGCAUGUCCGAACAAUUGCAUGUUAUAUUGGGGUUCCUUGGAAGACAAGAAGAUAGAUAAUUGCAAGAUUUGCAAUGCAUCUAGGUGGAAAUCUAAUGGAAACAUUAGUGGUGCAAAUGAUAUAGUGGUUGGCCAAAAUAAAAAACUACAUACCAGCAAAGGUCUUACGAUACUUCCACUUAUACCAAUAUUGCAAAGACUAUACAUGUGUUCUAAAACUGUAGAGCUUUUGAAAUGGCAUCCUAAAAAGGCAAAGCCGGAUGGGUUGGUAAGACAUCCGAGAGAUAGUAAAGCAUGAAAGGAGUUUGACAAAAUGUAUCCGGACUUUGGUUUAGAUUCUCGUAAUAUACGGCUUGCAUUAGCUAGAGAUGGUUUCAAUCCAUUUGGAACUUUAAGUUCUAAUAAUAGCAUUUGGCUUGUGAUGUUGUAUACUUACAAUUAUCCUCCAUGGUACUGUACGAAGCAAACUUCUCUCAUAAUGUCGACGAUAAUUCCUGGUCCUAAGAUGCCUAACAAUAGUAUUGAUGUUUACUUGCAGCCCUUGGUUUCAGAGUUACAAAAAUUGUGGAAAGGAGUGGAAGCUUAUGAUUCCUCUACAAAAGAAUCAUUUCAAAUGAGUGUUGCAUUUUUUUGUACUAUUAGUGACUUCCAAAGGUCUAGAUGGCUAAAGUUUGAUACAGUGUCUAAAUGUGUGUUGCAUCACUUGCUUGUCCAUCAUGUAAUUUUGAUACAGAGUCUAAAUGGCUAAAGUUUGGCGGAAAAUAUUGUUUUAUUGGACAUCGUCGAUAUUUACCACUUGAUCAUAAGUAUAGUAUCAAUAAAUCAUCCUUUGAUGGUUCUAUUGAGCUUAGACCUGCCCCUAUCCGCCUUCAGGUUCAAAUUGUUGCGAGAUAUAGAAUCGGGUUGUAUAAGGACCCGUGAUGAGGUUAAGAGUGAAAACAACCCACCACAAUGGAAGAAAAAGGGUAUAUUUUGGGAUCUACCUUAUUGGAAACAUCUUCUUAUUCGUCAUUGCCUUUAUAUGAUGCACAUAGAGAAAAAUGUUGGUGAGAAUGUAUUAGUCACAAUACUUAAUGACAAAAGUAGAACAAAAGAUAAUCUUAAAGCUCGUAAAGAAUUACAUGCAAUGGAAAUUAGAGAGAAGCUUCAUCCAUAUCCGAAUCCCUCUAAGUUUCCUCCAUCAUGCUUUAAAAGGAAAAAUCAAGAGAAAGAUAUCUUUCUAAAAAUUCUUAAAAGUGUGGUAUUUCCGGAUAGUUUCUCAUCAAACAUUUCUAGAUGUGUUGAUUUAAAGAAACGCAAGAUCUCUGGACUAAAGAGCCAUGAUACACAUAUUCUGAUGGAACAUAUUUUUCCAAUUGCCUUUAGAAGAUCUCUUCCUAAAGAAGUUACUUCAGUGUUGAUUGAGCUAUGUAACUACUUUAGAGAAUUAUCAAGCAAAGUUUUAAAUGUUAAAUAUUUAGAGAAACUCCAACAACGAAUUUCUAUGACCCUUUGUCAUAUGGAAAUGAUAUUUCUUCCAUUCUUUUUCACUAUCAUGUUUCAUUUGGUCAUUCAUCUUGGGGAGGAAGCAAUGAUUGCUAGCCCUGUACAUUAUAGAUGGAUGUAUCCUAUUGAAAGGUAAAUUUUUACUUUACAUGCUUAGUUAUUUAUUUUAUUAGGACUUGAAUGUUGAUUCAUUUUCUUUUUGUUCUAGGACUCUUGGCCAUUUAAAAUCAUAUGUCUGUAACAAGGUUGCACCCGAAGGUUGUAUAGCUGAAGGGUAUAUUAUGGAAGAAUGUCUAACUUUUUGUUCGAGAUAUUUUCUGAAUGGUGACAUUGAAACAAGGUUUAAUCGACCAAGACGCAAUGACGAAGAUAUUGGGGUCAAUGUUUUUAGUGAAUCUACUAUCUUUUCGAAUAUAUUUCCUACAUUGGGAAAAUCUAUUGGUGUAUGCAAGUUUUUUUCGUUAGAACCCAUUGAGAAGCUACAAGCUCAUCAUUAUGUGUUAACUAAUUGUCAAUUGGUUUAUACAUUCGCGAGUAAGUUAUAUGUUCUUAUUAAUAGUUUAUUUUCAUACUAUAAUGCAUUUCAAUAUCAAAUAUGUGAUAACUAUUAACUUCCUCAUACAGAAAGUGUAAAACUGAGGUCAUGGCCAAAGAAACUCCACAAAAGUUAUGGAAGAAUAUAUACAUAAGCAUUUCCACGAGGGGUUUAAAGAAAAUGUAAGAAUAUAUAUAUAUAUAUAUAUAUAUAUAAUUUCACCUAACUUUUGUUUAUGCUCAAAAGCUCAUGAGUGUAUGUAGUUGUCCUUACCUUUCAACAAAAUAAUAGGUUGCGAGAAAGGAAGAUCCAGAUAUUACAAGUGAAAUUGAAUGUCUUGCAAAAGGGCCAAAUAAUAUUUCUCGAAGAUUUGAUGGGUAUAAUAUCCAUGGAUUUAAAUUUCGAACAAAGAGGAAGGAGCAAGGAUUGAGAACACAAAAUAGUGGUAUUGUUAUGUCUGCUGUAACUAAGAGAUUUUCAAGUGGUAAGGAACCUAUUGAAAUAUCAAGUGAUGUUAUGUACUACGGGAAAUUGGUUGACAUAGAGUUAGACUACUAUGGUAAGUUAAGGGUUGUGCUAUUCAAAUGUGAUUGGGUAGACACUACACUUAACAAGGGAAUCAAAAUUGAUAAAUUUGGGAUAACAAGUGUAAACUUUUCAUGUUUAAUACACACCGGUGCAAAUGAAGCAGAUUAACCAUUCAUCCUUGCAACUGAUGCUAGAAUGGUAUAUUAUAUUGAUGAUCCAGUUGAUCAAGGUUGGUGUUGUGUUUGCCACAUGAAGCCUAGAGACAUCUAUGAUAUGGGUGAUCUGAACUUUGAGGACUUAGAAGAGUCAUCAAUGGAAGACAUAUCUUUUUGUGAGCAACAUUUGGAGAACAUCGAAGAAUUACAAUUAGUGCAGGAAGGUGUAAAUGAACAAGAACAAGAAAAACAUGGAUCAAAUAAUGAUGAAGAUUGUGAUAAUUUUAGUGAUGAUGAAGAAGGAAGAAUGUUAGAGUAGUUUAAUAUCCUAUAUUAUGUACUUGACAAUAUAAAAUAGACUUUUUUUACAAUUUGUGCCACACUUUUUGCAUUAUAUCUUUAAUAAUUCAUGUUAUGAUUCAUUUAGUAUAUAUUUUGUUUCUUGUUAUAGUUUUUUUGUUAGCAAAUUGUGCAGGUAAUUGGUUCAAUAUGAAGAGUACGAAUUCAAGACAAGUAAUACUAGAAAAGCUAAGAGGACAAAAAGGUGAAAACAAUAGCGAAAAUACCCAAAAUAUACAACAACAAACUAGUGACAAUCAAGAGGGUGUUGAACAUGCA
rnacentral:lncRNA from 1 species